rnacentral:misc_RNA from 1 species
GGCGGAGGUUAGGAAGGAGAGUACGUCGGCGGACAGCGGCGGCGCGGCGGCCAUGGUGGGGCGCUGGCGGCACAAUCUCGAUGGUUUAUCUGAAGCUGGGAGGAGCAAUUCAGAAUGGAAUGGAACUCUGGAUUGGAUGGUUUAUCACAAUAAUGGUAUGCUAUGGAACAGACGGGCGCGGCAGGACGGGACGAAGCGUGUAUAAACUCGGUGGCGGCGUGAAGAGUGGAGAGAAGCGGAGGAGGAGGUUCUGGGAGCUUCGGGGGCCAACGAGCACUCCGUGGAGAUUUGAGAAGGUCCGGAAGAUUAUUGGGAAAGGAAGCUUCGGAAGGGAGGUGGGUGAGAGUUUUUUUUGGAAC